rnacentral:lncRNA from 1 species
GCUUCAAGCUAAAACUCUUAGACAUUCACUCUAAAUAGACUUCUAUUUUAUAACACAUCUAACAAAGAAAAAUAAACCCCAUUCCUGUACUUUUAUCAAAACCAACACCUAUCCCCCUCUCCACCUCCUCUCUCUUUCCCUCCCUUUCAUCUUUUUCCGUGCUCCAUUCCCGUCCCCUUUCCCCUGCCUUUGGCAAAUCCACCCUAUUAAAACUCAUACAAAUAUGAAAUAACAUAGAUUAGCCAAAUAGAGAACCCACAAAGGGAUUAUCAAUGGACCUCGCCGGAAAAGUUCCUCUAAUGCGAUAUCUAUUGACGAAAAAUUCAUUCUCCAAGCAAACCUCAAAAAAAGAUACUAUUGGAAUCUUCAGUUUCUCUCUCGAUUAUUUACUUGAUUAUUAAUUUUGGCUUAGAUCACUUUUUUCUCUAAUUUAUUAUUUUUGGUGUAAAAUUUUCUUUAAAAUUAUUCGUCGAUGAUGCUGAAAGAGUGAGGAGAAAUUGUGUUCUUAUGGUAGAGAUGAGGAUGACAGGAUUGACAAAAAAAUGUGAUUUUCGUGCCUACACAACAUUUUUUCUACUUCUUUGGCUGAGUCUGGGACUGAUUUUGGGACGACGAAAUUAGGCGAAGCUCUGAAGAUUACGAGCAAUAGAAUUUUGUGGUGAAAGAUGGUAGUUUCUAGUAGUUUUUGGUGCUUAUUUUGGGCUUUAAUGGCUGAUUUUUCUCGCCUAUAUGGCGGUUUCAUAGUGCGGUUGAGGUUGUUUAGUUCAUAAGAAAGGAAGAAGAAAGGUUUAGUUGCAGCUGCUUCAGCUAGCUACUAUGGUGCUCUA